AAUGAACGUUGGCGGCGUGGAUUAGGCAUGCAAGUCGAGCGAGAACCGUAGCAAUACGGGGACAGCGGCGAAAGGGAGAGGAACACGUGGGUACCUACCCUCAGGCUCAGGAUAGCCAUGGGAAACUAUGGGUAAUACUGAAUAAUGUCUUCGGACCAAAGGUGUGAUUCCGUCCGAGGAGGGGCCCGCGUCCUAUGAGCUAGUUGGUGAGGUGACGGCUCACAAAGGCGAAGAUGGGUACGGGAUGUGAGAGCAUAAUCCCGCUCAUUGGGACUGAGGCACGGCCCAGACACCUACGGGUGGCUGCAGUCGAGAAUCUUCGGCAAUGGGGGAAACCCUGACCGAGCGACGCCGCGUGCUAGAUGAAGGCCUUCGGGUUGUAAAUCGCUGUCAGUGGGGAGGAAAUGCUGGUGGGUUCUCCCAUCAGUUUGACCUAUCCGCAGAGGAAGGACGGGCUAAGUUCGUGCCAGCCGCCGCCGUAAUAC
rnacentral:rRNA from 1 species